rnacentral:rRNA from 1 species
AUUGAACGCUGGCGGCAUGCCUUACACAUGCAAGUCGAGCGGCAGCGCGGGAGCAAUCCUGGCGGCGAGUGGCGAACGGGUGAGUAAUGUAUCGGAACGUGCCCAGUAGUGGGGGAUAGCCCGGCGAAGGCCGGAUUAAUACCGCAUACGACCUACGGGUGAAAGGGGGGGAUCGCAAGACCUCUCGCUAUUGGCGCGGCCGAUAUCAGAUUAGGUAGUUGGUGGGGUAAAGGCCUACCAAGCCUGCGAUCUGUAGUUGGUCUGAGAGGACGACCAGCCACACUGGGACUGAGACACGGCCCAGACUCCUACGGGAGGCAGCAGUGGGGAAUUUUGGACAAUGGGGGCAACCCUGAUCCAGCAAUGCCGCGUGCAGGAAGAAGGCCUUCGGGUUGUAAACUGCUUUUGUCAGGGAAGAAAUCCUCUGGGUUAAUACCUCGGGGGGAUGACGGUACCUGAAGAAUAAGCACCGGCUAACUACGUGCCAGCCGCCGCGGUAAAAC